GUUAUUUAAUUAAUGUAAGUGAUGGGUUGUGAAAUGUAUAACCCAUUUUGGGUUAUUAUAUGGGUAUUGGGUUAUUAACUGGGUUAUUGUUGUGAACCCAUGCAUUGGGUUAAACCUUGGUUAAAGACAGUUCAGUUAUAUACUAUCUUUACAUCAACCCAACAAACAUUAGUUAACCCAUCACCUGGGUUGUUUAUGUUUUGAACGUCUCCACGUCAUACGUCAUGACAUCGAUUACUUCAAACGGAGCACUGGACGGCAAUCUAACCGAUCGUCGUUGACCCAGCAAUCAAAGUGGCAAGGUCAAUGGACAGUUUUGUGGUGGACAAACUAACUCGAUGGCAGCUGACAGACCUUAUUGAUAUUUUUAAAGACAGUUUGGGAGUUUCUCCAAGAUGGAGUGUACGGAAUGGAAGGAGAUGAGUCUAAACCUGUUAAGUUUUUACGUGCAGCAAUACUUGCUUGUAAAUAGACAGUGGAUGUGUUUGUUUGUUUUGUUCUGCUGAGAGUUGAC